rnacentral:tRNA from 1 species
AGAAAUGUCGAUCCAACAGUUACGAUAAUUGCCUUCCAAGCAAUAGACCCGGGUUCGACUCCCGACAUACUCA